GAUGAACGCUAGCUACAGGCUUAACACAUGCAAGUCGAUUCGAUUUACCUUCGGGUAUUGAGGAUGGCGGACGGGUGAGUAACGCGUAAGGAACUUGCCUCUUGGUCUGGGACAACUGUUGGAAACGACAGCUAAUACCGGAUAUUAUGAGAUUCUCGCAUGAGAAACUUAUGAAAGCUAUAUGCGCCAAGAGAGAGCCUUGCGUUCCAUUAGCUAGGUUGGUGGGUAAUGGCCCACCAAGGCGACGAUGGAUAGCCGGCUGAGA
rnacentral:rRNA from 1 species